rnacentral:lncRNA from 1 species
AUGAGGCUGUAGAAGGGGGUCGAAACUGGUUGAGGUCGUGUUUUAUAGGUUGAUUUGGUGUGGUAAAGGGUAAGGGAUUCUCAUCCACUUGACUAGCUGGCUGGGUGACGGGUUUGGCUUGGAAGGUGACAAACAAAUUCAUUCCCAGGUGAGCAUCCAGGUGGAGAAAGAAAAAUCGAAGAGAAUCGUCGUUUGUCAUAAUAACUGGCGGUGUUGUUAUUCCGGUGACAAGCUCUUUCAUGUUAGGAGGCCAGUAACUCAAUAUAGGGAGAGACGCGGUCUCCGU